rnacentral:rRNA from 1 species
CCUACGGGCGGCAGCAGUAGGGAAUAUUGCUCAAUGGGCGAAACCCUGAAGCAGCAACGCCGCGUGGAGGAUGAAGGUUUUCGGAGUGUAAACCCCUUUUUUUAGAGAAGAAAAUGACGGUAUCUAACGAAUAAGCACCGGCUAACUCCGUGCCAGCAGCCGCGGUCAUACGGAGGGUGCAAGCGUUACCCGGAAUCACUGGGCGUAAAGAGCGCGUAGGCGGGAUAGCAAGUCAGGUGUGAAAUCCUAUGGCUUAACCAUAGAACUGCAUUUGAAACUGUUAUUCUAGAGUAUGGGAGAGGUAGGUGGAAUUCGUGGUGUAGGGGUAAAAUGCGUAGAGAUCAAGAAGAAUACUCAUUGCGAAGGCGGCCUGCUAGAACAUAACUGACGCUGAUGCGCGAAAGCGUGGGGAGCAAACAGGAUUAGAUACCCGUGUAGUC